UGCUGGAGCAGAGGGAGGGAAGGAGCAGGGAGAACUGCAACCCCCAGCAGCUCGGUCAGUGCCGGAUGGACUCGGGACUGGGAAAGGUCACUCAGUGUGAGGGCAGGGACACUGAGCUGGUCCAAGUGUGGCAAGAAGAACAAGUGGGCCGUGAAGGUUUGGAGCAGUCUAGAAGGUUCCUCAUGCCUAAAGGAUCCGGGCAAGUGAAGUCCUGGAAGAGUAUGGAAUAUUGAAAAGUGCCUCAGUUCUCCUGAAGCUCAACUUUGUAAAAUAUUCAUGAAGAUAAAAUCCUACUGUAGCUGAGCUGUUGGGUCCUAAAUACUCUUGGAGGGAGAGGCAGAAACUCCCACUGCUGCUGGGGCUGAACUGCUUGCAGUGACCAGGUGUGACUUGGCCCUGAUGUCUGAGUGCUCUCCAGUCCCCCAGGAUGGAUCCCAACUGUCAGCCCCCGGCUCCAUAACUUGAGGAGAGGGUGUUCCUGCAAGCCUAGCUGCUGUGGUGGUAGUCCUGUGUGCACCUCUUGCUCUGGCCUGUUGUGAAUGUAUUUGUGUUGCAGCUCAGUAAAGUCCCAGUAAUGUG